rnacentral:rRNA from 1 species
AUUGAACGCUGGCGGCAGGCUUAACACAUGCAAGUCGAACGAGUGGCGGACGGGUGAGUAAUGUAUGGGAAACUGCCCGAUGGCGGGGGAUAACUACUGGAAACGGUAGCUAAUACCGCAUACCAUCGGAUCUGCCCAGAUGGGAUUAGCUAGUAGGUGGGGUAAAGGCUCACCUAGGCGACGAUCCCUAGCUGGUCUGAGAGGAUGACCCGCCACACUGGGACUGGGACACGGGCCAAACUCCUACGGGAGGCAGGAGGGGGGAAUUUUGCACAAAGGGCGCAAGCCUUAUGCCGCCAGGCCGCGUGUAAGGAGAAGGCCUUCGGGUUGCUAAGGUCUUUCAGCGGGGAGGCGUUACCCGGAGAAGAAGCACCGGCUAACUCCGUGCCAGCCGCCGCGGUAAUUC